GUACUAGGAAUAUAGACAUUUAUUGGACUUUACAGAGACAUACAUCAGAGCAGAGCUCUUUAGAUUUCCAGAAGCCUGAUGAGAGUCCUUUCAUUUCCUGUUUCACAACAUCUCUCCAUUCAUCGUGUGACGCUGCCUGUGCCUGCUCUGCUUCCUAUUGCUGGGCAGUCAUUCUAUUGACAUUCAGGAGUUCCAGACUAGGACAAGAAGAGGAAGAUGAGAGCGGGGAUGUCAGGAAAAGCAAAUGUUGAGAGGGAUCCCUUUGACAAGAUGGUAUGCUUUAAAUGACUUGAGUAUGCUUCAGCUAGAAGCUGUGGAAGAUGUUUCAUAAGCCUCAAGAAGAGGGUGCUUUGCCUCCAAGAGACAAAAUGGAUUUGGUUCGCUGACCUUUCCUUGUUAUCAAAAACUGGACAUCUGAAUGUUAAAACGAAGUUUCAAUUGGUUUCCCUAGCAUCCGCUCCUUGAGUCAAUGAUGUAUCAAAUCGAUGAUGUUGAGCUAUAUU